rnacentral:pre_miRNA from 1 species
AGACUUCUGUAUCCGUGCUGAGAUUUCGUCACACAACAGAACACAAGGGCUGACGAGACUCCCAAGAUAAGUGAAGCG